AUUGAACGCUGGCGGCAGGCCUAACACAUGCAAGUCGAGCGGAUGACGGGGGCUUGCUCCUGGAUUCAGCGGCGGACGGGUGAGUAAUGCCUAGGAAUCAGCCUGGUAGUGGGGGACAACGUUUCGAAAGGAACGCUAAUACCGCAUACGUCCUACGGGAGAAAGCAGGGGACCUUCGGGCCUUGCGCUAUCAGAUGAGCCUAGGUCGGAUUAGCUAGUUGGUGAGGUAAUGGCUCACCAAGGCGACGAUCCGUAACUGGUCUGAGAGGAUGAUCAGUCACACUGGAACUGAGACACGGUCCAGACUCCUACGGGAGGCAGCAGUGGGGAAUAUUGGACAAUGGGCGAAAGCCUGAUCCAGCCAUGCCGCGUGUGUGAAGAAGGUCUUCGGAUUGUAAAGCACUUUAAGUUGGGAGGAAGGGCAGUAAGCGAAUACCUUGCUGUUUUGACGUUACCGACAGAAUAAGCACCGGCUAACUCUGUGCCAGCAGCCGCCGUAA
rnacentral:rRNA from 1 species